CGUCCCUUGUCUUAAACAUCUGUGAUCACCAUGGUUUGGAGCUCGUCUCCUGUGGAGGACUCUGUGUACACGGACGGUAAGAGAAGGGUUGUGCUUUUCUCUCCUCACCGUGUUUUCUGGAUUCUUCUAUUCAGCCAGAGAGAGCACAGAAGCACUGAGAGCCAGGAGAGGGGAUUCCUCGCCCCAGGACCAAGGUGGUAGAAGGGCACACCUUCAAUCCCAGCCCUGGGGAAGCAGAAGCGGGCAGAUCUCUUGCGAGUUCGAGGCCAGCCUGGUCUACAAAGCGAUGAAAGGAGACAGAGGCAGAGACCCACAUUGGAGCACCAGACAGAAAUCUCAAGGUCCAAAUCAGGAGCAGAUGGAGAGAGAGCACGAGCAAGGAACUCAGGACCGCGAGGGGUGCACCCACACACUGAGACAAUGGGGAUGUUCUAUCCGGAACUCACCAAGGCCAGCUGGCCUGGGUCUGAAAAAGCCUGGGAUAAAACCGGACUUGCUGAACAUAGCAGACAAUGAGGACUACUGAGAACUCAAGAACAAUGGCAAUGGGUUUUUUAUCCUACUGCACGUACUGGCUUUGUGGGAGCCUCGGCAGUUUGGAUGCUCACCUUACUAGACCUGGAUGGAGGUGGGUGGUCCUUGGACUUCCCACAGGGCAGGGAACCCUGAUUGCUCUUUGGGCUGAC